GACGAACGCUGGCGGCGUGCCUAAUACAUGCAAGUAGAACGCUGAAGGAGGAGCUUGCUUCUCUGGAUGAGUUGCGAACGGGUGAGUAACGCGUAGGUAACCUGCCUGGUAGCGGGGGAUAACUAUUGGAAACGAUAGCUAAUACCGCAUAAGAGUAGAUGUCGCAUGACAUUUGCUUAAAAGGUGCAAUUGCAUCACUACCAGAUGGACCUGCGUUGUAUUAGCUAGUUGGUGAGGUAACGGCUCACCAAGGCAACGAUACAUAGCCGACCUGAGAGGGUGAUCGGCCACACUGGGACUGAGACACGGCCCAGACUCCUACGGGAGGCAGCAGGAGGGAAGCGUCGGCAAUGGACGGAAGGCUGACCGAGCAACGCCGCGUGAGGGAAGAAGGGUGUCGGAUCGUAAAGCUCGGUUGUAAGAGAAGAACGAGUGUGAGAGUGGAAAGUUCACAAUGUGACGGUAUCUGACCAGAAAGGGACGGCUAACUACGUG
rnacentral:rRNA from 1 species